ACACAUGCAAGUCGAACGGAGCACCCUUGAUUGAGGUUUCGGCCAAAUGAUAGGAAUGCUUAGUGGCGGACUGGUGAGUAACGCGUGAGGAACCUGCCUCUCAGAGGGGGACAACAGUUGGAAACGACUGCUAAUACCGCAUGACACAUCGGAAGGGCAUCCUUCUGAUGUCAAAGAUUUUAUCGCUGAGAGAUGGCCUCGCGUCUGAUUAGCUAGUUGGUGAGGUAAUGGCCCACCAAGGCGACGAUCAGUAGCCGGACUGAGAGGUUGACCGGCCACAUUGGGACUGAGAUACGGCCCAGACUCCUACGGGAGGCAGCAGUGGGGAAUAUUGGGCAAUGGACGCAAGUCUGACCCAGCAACGCCGCGUGAAGGAAGAAGGCUUUCGGGUUGUAAACUUCUUUUGUCAGGGAAGAGCAGAAGACGGUACCUGACGAAUAAGCCACGGCUAACUACGUGCCAGCAGCCGCGGUAAUACGUAGGUGGCAAGCGUUGUCCGGAUUUACUGGGUGUAAAGGGCGUGCAGCCGGGCCGGCAAGUCAGAUGUGAAAUCCACGAGCUUAACUCGUGAACUGCAUUUGAAACUGUUGGUCUUGAGUAUCGGAGAGGUAAUCGGAAUUCCUUGUGUAGCGGUGAAAUGCGUAGAUAUAAGGAAGAACACCAGUGGCGAAGGCGGAUUACUGGACGACAACUGACGGUGAGGCGCGAAAGCGUGGGGAGCAAACAGGAUUAGAUACCCUGGUAGUCCACGCUGUAAACGAUGGAUACUAGGUGUGCGGGGACUGACCCCCUGCGUGCCGCAGUUAACACAAUAAGUAUCCCACCUGGGGAGUACGAUCGCAAGGUUGAAACUCAAAGGAAUUGACGGGGGCCCGCACAAGCGGUGGAUUAUGUGGUUUAAUU
rnacentral:rRNA from 1 species